GAUGAAGAACGCAGCGAAAUGCGAUAAGUAAUGUGAAUUGCAGAAUUCAGUGAAUCAUCGAAUCUUUGAACGCACCUUGCACCCUUUGGCAUUCCGAAGGGUAUGCUCGUUUGAGUGUCAUUGUACUCUCACACUUCUGAUCCUUUGGAUUGGGAGCGGUGGACUUGGGUGUUGCUGCUUUACUGUGGCUCACCUCAAAUGCAUUCGUGCAACUCUUGGUUGGACAUAGUACGGCGUGAUAAGUAUCUUCGCCGGCACCUCGCAAGAGGGUGGCUGAUCAGGAGCUCUGUGCUUUCCAUCUGUCUUCAGACAACAACUGACAACUUGACCUCAAAUCGAGUAGGACCACCCGCUGAACUUAAGCAUAUCAAUAAGCGGAGGA
rnacentral:misc_RNA from 1 species